GCUGAUAUGGCAGAAAUUUAUGCGUUGAAUUUAAGCUUCAGAGAUAAAAAGAUAGUUUCUUUUUUUUCAGCA
rnacentral:tRNA from 1 species